rnacentral:rRNA from 1 species
UACGGAGGGUGCGAGCGUUGUCCGGAAUCAUUGGGCGUAAAGGGCGCGUAGGUGGCCCGGUCAGUCUUUGGUGAAAGCGCGGGGCUCAACCCUGCGUCGGCCAGGGAUACUGCCGCGGCUCGAGCACUGUAGAGGCAGGCGGAAUUCCGGGUGUAGCGGUGGAAUGCGUAGAGAUCCGGAAGAACACCGGAGGCGAAGGCGGCUUGCUGGGCUUUGUCUGACGCUGAGGCGCGAAAGCGUGGGGAGCGAACAGG